UCCCCUGUGGCUCAGUUGGUAGAGCAUGGCGUUUGCAACGCCAGGGUUGUGGGUUCGAUUCCCACGGGGGAC
rnacentral:tRNA from 1 species